rnacentral:rRNA from 1 species
AUUGAACGCUGGCGGCAUGCCUUACACAUGCAAGUCGAACGGCAGCAUGAUCUAGCUUGCUAGAUUGAUGGCGAGUGGCGAACGGGUGAGUAAUACAUCGGAACGUGCCCUGUAGUGGGGGAUAACUAGUCGAAAGAUUAGCUAAUACCGCAUACGACCUGAGGGUGAAAGUGGGGGACCGCAAGGCCUCAUGCUAUAGGAGCGGCCGAUGUCUGAUUAGCCAGUUGGUGAGGUAAAGGCUCACCAAGGCGACGAUCAGUAGCUGGUCUGAGAGGACGAUCAGCCACACUGGGACUGAGACACGGCCCAGACUCCUACGGGAGGCAGCAGUGGGGAAUUUUGGACAAUGGGCGAAAGCCUGAUCCAGCAAUGCCGCGUGUGUGAAGAAGGCCUUCGGGUUGUAAAGCACUUUUGUCCGGAAAGAAAUGGCUCUGGUUAAUACCUGGGGUCGAUGACGGUACCGGAAGAAUAAGGACCGGCUAACUACGUG